UACGUAGGGGCCGAGCGUUGUCCGGAAUUAUUGGGCGUAAAGGGCUCGUAGGCGGUCUGUUGCGUCGGGAGUGAAAACUUACAGCUUAACUGUGAGCGGGCUUCCGAUACGGGCAGACUUGAGGUAUUCAGGGGAGAACGGAAUUCCUGGUGUAGCGGUGAAAUGCGCAGAUAUCAGGAGGAACACCGGUGGCGAAGGCGGUUCUCUGGGAAUAUCCUGACGCUGAGGCGCGAAAGUGUGGGGAGCGAACAGG
rnacentral:rRNA from 1 species